rnacentral:rRNA from 1 species
UGACGGGAGGCAGCAGUGAGGAAUAUUGGUCAAUGGGCGAGAGCCUGAACCAGCCAAGUAGCGUGCAGGAAGACGGCCCUAUGGGUUGUAAACUGCUUUUAUAGGGGAAUAAAGUGAUCUACGUGUAGUUUAUUGUAUGUACCCUAUGAAUAAGGACCGGCUAAUUCCGUGCCAGCAGCCGCGGUAAUC